rnacentral:rRNA from 1 species
UGAGUGCGAGCUGCUACGGCAGCGAAGUUGGUGACGUCAUGCUUCCAAGAAAAGCCCUAUACCCGUUAAGGCAUCAUGGCCUGUACCCGAAACCGACACAGGUGGGGUGGUAGAGAAUACCGAGGGGCGCGAGGUAACUCUCUCUAAGGAACUCGGCAAAAUGGCCCCGUAACUUCGGGAGAAGGGGUGCCACCGCAAGGUGGUCGCAGUGAAGAGGCCCAGGCGACUGUUUACCAAAAACACAGGUCUCCGCUAAGUCGCAAGACGAUGUAUGGGGGCUGACGCCUGCCCAGUGCCGGAAGGUUAAGGAAGCUGGUCAGCGCAAGCGAAGCUAGCGACUGAAGCCCCGGUGAACGGCGGCCGUAACAAUAACGGUCCUAAGGUAGCGAAAUUCCUUGUCGGGUAAGUUCCGACCCGCACGAAAGGCGUAACGAUCUGGGCGCUGUCUCGGAGAGAGGCUCGGCGAAAUAGAAUUGUCUGUGAAGAUGCGGACUACGUGCACCCGGACAGAAAGACCCUAUGAAGCUUUACUGUAGCUUGGUAUUGUGCCCGGGCUCGCAAUGCGCAGGAUAGGUGGGAGGCUUUGAUCAUCGGCUUGCGGGUCGAUGUGAGCCAACGGUGAGAUACCACUCUUUGCGAGCUAGGGUUCUAACGGCCACCCGUCAUCCGGGGGCCGGACAGUACCUGGUGGGCAGUUUGACUGGGGCGGUCGCCUCCUAAAAGGUAACGGAGGCGCGCAAAGGUUUGCUCAGGCUGGUUGGAAAUCAGCCGACGAGUGUAAAAGCAGAAGCAAGCUUGACUGUGAGACCAACAAGUCGAACAGGGAGGAAACUCGGCUUUAGUGAUCCGACGGUUCUGAGUGGAAGGGCCGUCGCUCUACGGAUAAAAGUUACUCUAGGGAUAACAGGCUGAUCUCCCCCAAGAGUUCACAUCGACGGGGAGGUUUGGCACCUCGAUGUCGGCUCAUCGCAACCUGGGGCUGAAGUCGGUCCCAAGGGUUGGGCUGUUCGCCCAUUAAAGCGGUACGCGAGCUGGGUUCAGAACGUCGUGAGACAGUUCGGUCCAUAUCCGGUGCACGCGCAGGAAUAUUGAGAGGAUUUCUCCCUAGUACGAGAGGACCGGGUGGAACGCACCUCUGGUGUACCAGUUAUCGUGCCAACGGUAAACGCUGGGUAGCCAUGUGCGGAGUGGAUAACCGCUGAAAGCAUCUAAGUGGGAAGCCCACCUCAAGAUGAGUAUUCCCAUGGCGUAAGCCAGUAAGGUCACGGGAAGAACACCCGUUGAUAGGCUCUAUGUGGAAGCGCAGUAAUGCGUGAAGCAGAGGAGUACUAAUAGACCGAGGGCUUGACC